rnacentral:tRNA from 1 species
UUAGGUUUAAAAUCUAAAAAUGAUAUUUAUAUCCUAUAUUA